ensembl:lncRNA
GUUGUCCGCCCACUCCUGGUGUCCAGCCCGGGACAGUUUGGCUACCGGCUGCUCGCACCUCCCCGCCAAGCGAGGUACAGCCAGCGGAUGGGAUCGACGAGGGGAGGACUCCUGCUUGCACGGGAUUUUACCCAGCGUGAACGUUGGGUGUACCUCGUGGGGAAGAAGAAAACUGCACCUGUUUUCAGUCGGUAGCCGGUUUUAUUUGAGUUACAAAAAGCGAUCGGACCUCAAAGUUGCCGUUGCUUUUCAGACCAUUAUUCUACUUAAUGCUUCUCCUAAAAAGACAGAAAGAUGUUGAACUCGGAAUCUGCAUACUAAAUGUACCUGAGGCUUGAGAUGGGCACUGCCCUGGGUGCUCCUGUCCACCAUGCAGUGGGACCUCACACCUCCGGUGCAGAGAGGGUGGUGGGUUCUCAGAGCUCACAUUAUGACGACUGCACCCCUGCCUGAUGGCUACAUCAAGUUCAGCCCCAGCUGUCACCCAGCCCUAGCAGGGAGGCAUCCAGCCAGGACUAGCAAAAGGCAGAGAAACAUUCAGCAGAAGUUGGAAGUAUCACAUUUCCAGCUUCAGCAUCUUUUGAUUCGAGGAGGAAAGAACAGCUUACAUGUGUCAGGUUUCUGCCUGUUUGCUCAGAUAUCACCAGACCUGUACUUUGGCUUGCCCAUCACAGAGUGCAUUGUGUUUGAUGCCAGGAAGGGAGGGGACAGCCUGCAGACAGAGGUGUGCUCAGGUUCUCUGACCCCACUGCGCAUCCCUGGAGCAGUUUGAUAUGAUCUGAAGACCACUGAUUUAAGGGAUUUACUCCCAUCUGCAAUGGAAAAGGAAGAAGAGAAUAAGGCUGCAGGCUCUUCAGAUCUCAGUCAUCUACAAGUCUCCGGAGUCAGCCAAUGUCAAAACCAAUAUUCCAGGCUUUAAAUGUCAACACAGAUAUUGCUCAUCCCAGUAAAACAAACACAUUAAUGCAUUAAUUAUGACGGUGGUUGCUUCUGAGAUUAUAGCAAGAAUCAGU